rnacentral:rRNA from 1 species
UACGUAGGUGGCAAGCGUUGUCCGGAUUUAUUGGGCGUAAAGAGCUCGUAGGCGGCUCGUCGCGUCGACCGUGAAAACCCGCAGCUUAACUGCGGGCUUGCGGUUGAUACGGGCGGGCUAGAGUUCGGUAGGGGGAGACUGGAAUUCCUGGUGUAGCGGUGAAAUGCGCAGAUAUCAGGAGGAACACCGGUGGCGAAGGCGGGUCUCUGGGCCGAUACUGACGCUGAGGAGCGAAAGCGUGGGGAGCGAACAGG